rnacentral:rRNA from 1 species
GACGAACGCUGGCGGCGUGCUUAACACAUGCAAGUCGUACGGUAAGGCCCUUUCGGGGGUACACGAGUGGCGAACGGGUGAGUAACACGUGAGUAACCUGCCCACAACUUUGGGAUAACGCUAGGAAACUGGUGCUAAUACUGGAUAUGUGCUCCUGCUGCAUGGUGGGGGUUGGAAAGCUCCGGCGGUUGUGGAUGGACUCGCGGCCUAUCAGCUUGUUGGUGGGGUAGUGGCCUACCAAGGCGGCGACGGGUAGCCGGCCUGAGGGGGGGACCGGCCACAUGGGGACUGAGAUCCGGCCCAGCCCCCUACGGGGGGCAGCAGGGGGGAAUAUUGCAAAAGGGGCGCAAGCCUGAUGCAGCAACGCCGCGUGCGGGAUGACGGCCUUCGGGUUGUAAACCGUUUUCAGCAGGGACGAAGCUUUUUGGGACGGUACCGGCAGAAGAAGCACCGGCUAACUACGU